rnacentral:rRNA from 1 species
AUACGGGGGGUGCAAGCGUUAAUCGGAAUUACUGGGCGUAAAGCGCGCGUAGGCGGUUUGCUCAGUCGGAUGUGAAAGCCCAGGGCUCAACCUUGGAACUGCAUACGAUACUGGCAAACUAGAGUGUGAGGGAGGAUAGUGGAAUUUCCGGUGUAGCGGUGAAAUGCGUAGAUAUCGGAAGGAACAUCAGUGGCGAAGGCGACUGUCUGGCUCAACACUGACGCUGAGGUGCGAAAGCGUGGGUAGCAAACAGGAUUAGAAACCCUAGUAGUCC